AAAUGGUCAUGUCAACCUAGAAGGCAUAUGCUCCAAAGUGGUUGGAGUGUCUUUGUUAGCUCCAAAAAUCUUGUUGCUGGGGAUGCAUUUAUAUUUAUAAGAGGUGAAAAUGGGGAACUUCGUGUCGGCGUACGCCGUGCAAUGCGACAAUAAGGUAACAUUCCGUCUUCAGUCAUAUCUAUCCACAACAUGCACCUUGGUGUUCUUGCAACCGCAUGGCAUGCUGUCUCGACAGGAACCAUGUUCACUGUCUAUUACAAACCUAGGACAAGCCCGGAAGAGUUUAUUGUUCCAUAUGGUCAAUAUAUGGAGUCCGUGAAGAACAACCACUCGAUUGGAAUGAGGUUCAAAAUGAGAUU